GGUUAAGUUAACAAGGGCGCAUGGUGAAUGCCCUUGGCACUAGGAGCCGAUGAAGGACGGGACUAACACCGAUAUGCUUCGGGGAGCUGUACGUAAGCUAUGAUCCGGAGAUUUCCGAAUGGGGCAACCCAGCAGUUUUAAUCAACUGUUACCACUAGAUGAAUUCAUAGUCUAGUUGGAGGUAAACGCUGUGAACUGAAACAUCUCAUUAGCAGCAGGAAUAUAAAGAAAUUUCGAUUCCCUAAGUAGCGGCGAGCGAACGGGGAACAGCCCAAACCAAAGUGCUUGCACUUUGGGGUUGUAGGACUGAACAUUUGAGUUACCAAAGAACUUGAUAGUCGAAGGAUUUGGGAAAAUCCGCCAUAGAUGGUGAUAGCCCAGUAGAUUAAAUCAAAUUCUCUCAGUUCAGGAUCCUGAGUACGGCGGAACACGUGAAAUUCCGUCGGAAUCCGGGAGGACCAUCUCCCAAGGCUAAAUACUACCUAGUGACCGAUAGUGAACCAGUACCGUGAGGGAAAGGUGAAAAGCACCCCGGGAGGGGAGUGAAAUAGUUCCUGAAACCAUGUGCCUACAAUAAGUCAGAGCGCGUUAAUGCGUGAUGGCGUGCCUUUUGUAGAAUGAACCGGCGAGUUAUGAUCCCGUGCAAGGUUAAGACUAAAAAGUCGGAGCCGUAGCGAAAGCGAGUCUGAAAUGGGCGUUUUGAGUACGAGGUUAUAGACCCGAAACCAGGUGACCUAUCCAUGUCCAGGUUGAAGGUGCGGUAAAACGCACUGGAGGACCGAACCCGUGUAAGUUGAAAAUUGCUGGGAUGAGGUGUGGAUAGCGGUGAAAUUCCAAACGAACUUGGAGAUAGCUGGUUCUCUCCGAAAUAGCUUUAGGGCUAGCCUCGGAAUUAGGAUCAUGGAGGUAGAGCACUAUUUGGACUAGGGGCCCGUCUUGGGUUACUGAAUUCAGAUAAACUCCGAAUGCCAUUGAUUCAUAUCCGGGAGUCAGACGAUGAGUGAUAAGAUCCACCGUCGAAAGGGGAACAGCCCAGACCAUCAGUUAAGGUCCCUAAAUGUAUGCUAAGUGGAAAAGGAUGUGGAGUUGCAUAGACAACUAGGAUGUUGGCUCAGAAGCAGCCACCAUUUAAAGAGUGCGUAAUAGCUCACUAGUCGAGUGAUCCUGCGCCGAAAAUGUACCGGGGCUAAGCAUACUACCGAAACCAUGGAUGCGACCAUUAGGUCGCGUGAUAGGAGAGCGUUCUAAGGGCGGUGAAGCAAGAUCGUGAGGACUUGUGGAGCGCUUAGAAGUGAGAAUGCCGGUAUGAGUAGCGAAAGAUAGGUGAGAAUCCUAUCCACCGAAUGACUAAGGUUUCCUGGGGAAGGCUCGUCCUCCCAGGGUUAGUCGGGACCUAAGUCGAGGCCGAGAGGCGUAGACGAUGGAUAACAGGUUGAGAUUCCUGUACUAGUUAAGUGCGUUUGAGCAAUGGAGGGACGCAGGAGGCUAAGAUGUGCAUUCUGUUGGAUUAGAAUGUCCAAGCAGUAAGUCUUGUGAAGAGUCAAAUGCUUUUCACUUUAAGGACAAGCUGUGAUGGGGAGCGAAAUUUAGUAGCGAAGCGUCUGAUGUCACACUGCCGAGAAAAGCUUCUAGUGAGUACUUAACUACCCGUACCGCAAACCGACACAGGUAGUCGAGGAGAGAAUCCUAAGGUGAGCGAGUGAACUCUCGUUAAGGAACUCGGCAAAAUGACCCCGUAACUUCGGGAGAAGGGGUGCUGAUCGCAAGAUCAGCCGCAGUGAAUAGGCCCAGGCGACUGUUUAUCAAAAACACAGGUCUCUGCAAAAUCGUAAGAUGACGUAUAGGGGCUGACGCCUGCCCGGUGCUGGAAGGUUAAAAGGAUGGGUUAGCUUCGGCGAAGCUCAGAAUUGAAGCCCCAGUAAACGGCGGCCGUAACUAUAACGGUCCUAAGGUAGCGAAAUUCCUUGUCGGGUAAGUUCCGACCCGCACGAAAGGCGUAACGAUCUGGGCACUGUCUCAACGAGAGACUCGGUGAAAUUAUAUUGUCCGUGAAGAUGCGGACUACCCGCGACAGGACGGAAAGACCCCAUGGAGCUUUACUGUAGCUUGAUAUUGAGUGUUUGUACAGCUUGUACAGGAUAGGUAGGAGCCAUAGAAACCGGAACGCUAGUUUCGGUGGAGGCGUUGGUGGGAUACUACCCUCGCUGUAUGACCACUCUAACCCGCACCACUAAUCGUGGUGGGAGACAGUGUCAGGUGGGCAGUUUGACUGGGGCGGUCGCCUCCUAAAAAGUAACGGAGGCGCCCAAAGGUUCCCUCAGAAUGGUUGGAAAUCAUUCGCAGAGUGUAAAGGCACAAGGGAGCUUGACUGCGAGACAGACAGGUCGAGCAGGGACGAAAGUCGGGCUUAGUGAUCCGGUGGUACCGUAUGGAAGGGCCAUCGCUCAACGGAUAAAAGCUACCCUGGGGAUAACAGGCUUAUCUCCCCCAAGAGUCCACAUCGACGGGGAGGUUUGGCACCUCGAUGUCGGCUCAUCGCAUCCUGGGGCUGUAGUCGGUCCCAAGGGUUGGGCUGUUCGCCCAUUAAAGCGGUACGCGAGCUGGGUUCAGAACGUCGUGAGACAGUUCGGUCCCUAUCCGUCGCGGGCGUAGGAAAUUUGAGAGGACCUGUCCUUAGUACGAGAGGACCGGGAUGGACAUACCUCUGGUGUACCAGUUGUGCCGCCAGGCGCAUCGCUGGGUAGCUACGUAUGGAUGUGAUAAACGCUGAAAGCAUCUAAGUGUGAAACACACCUCGAGAUGAGAUUUCCCAUUCCUUUAUGGAAGUAAGACCCCUGAAAGAUGAUCAGGUAGAUAGGUUAGAAGUGGCAGUGCGGUGACGCAUGAAGCGGACUAAUACUAAUCGGUCGAGGACUUAACCAA
rnacentral:rRNA from 1 species